rnacentral:rRNA from 1 species
GGAGUCUGGUCCGUGUCUCAGUACCAGUGUGGGGGACCUUCCUCUCAGAACCCCUAACGAUCGUAGGCCAGGUGGGCCGUUACCCCGCCGGCAAGCUAAUCAGACGCAUCCCCAUCCCUUACCGAUGAAUCUUUGCUCCUCAUCUGAUGCCAUCAAAGGAGAACAUAGAGUAUUAAUCCGACUUUCGCCGGGCUAUCCUCUAGUAAGGGGAAGGUUGGAUACGCGUUACUCACCCGUGCGCCGGUCGCCAUCAAAGGAAGCAAGCUUCCUUCAUGCUGCCCCACGACUUGCAUGUGUUAAGCCUGUAGCUAGCGUUCAUC